AUAAUUAUGAUUAAAACUAUUGAUGUAACUUUUUACUUUACUGAGGAUGUAUAUGCAGGAUAAAUAGUUAAGGAAUUCUUCGUUUAUGAAUUUUUC
rnacentral:snoRNA from 1 species